GACGAACGCUGGCGGCGUGCUUAACACAUGCAAGUCGAACGGAAAGACCCUGCUUUUGUGGGGUGCUCGAGUGGCGAACGGGUGAGUAACACGUGUGUAACCUGCCCUUGUCUUUGGGAUAACUUCAGGAAACUGGGGCUAAUACCGGAUAGGAUCUCCUGCUGCAUGGUGGUGGUUGGAAAGUGUCGGCGGUUGGGGAUGGACUGGCGGGUUAUCAGCUUGUUGGUGGGGUAGUGGAUUACCAAGGCUUUGAAGGGUAGGCCGCCUGAGAGGUGGGACAGGCACCAUGGUACUACGAGAGGGCGCAGAAUGCAACGUGACGCAGCGGGGGAGAGCAUUGCGCAACGGGGGGACGCCUGAUGCAGAGAUGCCGGGAGCGUGAUGACGGGCUACUGGUUGUAAACAGCUUUCGCAGGUGACGAGGCGUGAGUGACGGUAAUGGGUAAAGAAGCACCGGCUAACUACGUG
rnacentral:rRNA from 1 species